rnacentral:rRNA from 1 species
UACGUAGGGUGCAGGCGUUAAUCGGAAUUACUGGGCGUAAAGCGUGCGCAGGCGGUUUCUUAAGUCAGAUGUGAAAGCCCCGGGCUUAACCUGGGAACUGCGUUUGAAACUGGGAGACUUGAGUGUGGCAGAGGGGGGGUGGAAUUCCACGUGUAGCAGUGAAAUGCGUAGAUAAUCAGGAGGAACACCGGUGGCGAAGGCGGCUACGUCG